AGUCCUGUGGUCUAGCGGUUAGGAUUUCGCUCUUAUACCUCUUACAAAAGGCUAUUGGUAUGCGACGGUCGCGAGUUCAAUCCUCGCCUGGACUA